rnacentral:lncRNA from 1 species
GUACAAGCUUGGAGCAGACACCGACAGGCCGGGCUUCCUCCACUCUACACCUCCACUCUGUCUCUCUCAAUCUAGUAGAAACUAGAAGAUCUAUUUCUACCUUACAUUGAUUGCUAAGCCUAAAAAGAAAUAUUAAUUAGAGAAGAGGUUUUCCUUCGAGGGCACCCCUCAGUCUCUAUGAUAAUUUCUUCAUGUCUUCUCCAGGGGCC